rnacentral:lncRNA from 1 species
UUGGGACGCCAUCGUAGGUUCUAAUAUAAGUAAAUGUUAGUUCAUUUCGUUUCUCAUCAAUAGGACUGCAUCCUAGAUUGAAUAUAAGUUUCUUCUCUCUUCAUUUGGUUUCUCAUCAUUUAGACACCAUCCUAGGUUCUAUGUAAGUUUCUUCUUUGUUACUUUUGUUUUUCAUCAUUGGGACAACAUCAUAGGUUGUACCUUUGUUUAUUCUGUGUUUAUUUCGUUUCUCAUCAUUCGGAGGCAAAGCUAGGUUCUAUCUAAACAUAAUCUUGUGUUCCAUUGGUUUCUCAUCAUUGGGACACAAUCCUAGGUUGUUUCUAAAUUUAAUUGUUUGUUCCUUUGUUUCUUGUCAAUGGAGCACCAUCCAAGAUUCUAACACCGUUUAUUCUUUAUUCAUGUGGUUUCUCAUUAUUGAGACAACAUACUAGGUUGUAUCUAAGUUUCGUAUUUGUUUCUUUUGCUUUUCAUCAUUGCAACACCAUUAAUUUCUAUUUCAUUUUAUUCUUUGUUCAUUUUGUGUCUGAUAAGUGGAAUGUUAUCCUAGGUUCUAUUUAAGCUUAAUUGUUUGUUCCAUUGGUUUCUCAUCAUUGGGACACCAUCCUAAGUUCUUUAUUAGUUUAUUCUAUGUUCAUUUGGUUUCUAAUUAUUGGGACGCCAUCCUAGGUUCUAUCUGUGCUUAAUCAUUUGGUUUCUAAUUAUUGGGAACAACUUAGGUUCUUCCUCAAUUUAUUCUUUGUUUGUUUGGUUUCAUAUCAUUGGGAAGACAUCCUAGGUUUUGUAUAAGUUUAAUCGUUUGUUCGUUUGGUUUCUCAUCAUUGUGACACCCUCCUUGCUUCUAUUUAGGUUUCUUCUUUGUUCCUUUGGUUUCUCAUCAUUAGGACACCAUCCUAUGUUUUAUCUUAGUUUAUUAUUUCUUUGUUUGUUUUUUCAUGAUUGGGGCGUCAUCCGUGGUUCUAUCUAACAUUAAUCAUUUGUUUCUUCAGUUACUGAAUAUUAGGACACCAUCAUUGGUUUGAUUUUAGUUUGAUGCUUAUUCCUUUGGUUUCUCAUCCUUAGGACAAUAUCCUGGGUUCUAUCUAAUGUUAUUAUUAUUUUUUAUUUACUUUCACAUUAUUGGGAUGCCAUCUUAAGUUCUAUCUAAAGCUUAAACGUUAGUUCCUUUUGUUCUCAUCAAUAGGACUACAUCCUAGGGUGAAUCGAAGUUUCUUCUUUGUUCCUUUGGUUACUAAUCAUUGGGAAACCAUCUUAAAUUCUAUCUAAAUUUCUUCUUUGUUACUUUUUUUUCUCCUCAUUGAGACACCAUCAUAUGUUUUAUCACAGGUUAUUCUUUGUUCAUUUCAUUUCUCAUCACUGGGAUGCAAAACUAGGUUUUAUCUAAAGAUAAUUGUUUGUUCCUUUGGUUUCUCAUCAUUGGGAAGCCAUCACAGGUUGUUUCAAAACUUAAUCGUUUGUUCCUUUGGUUUCUCCUCAUUGGGACACCAUCCUAUAUUCUAUCUCAGUUUAUUUUUUGUUCAUUUGGUUUCUCAUCAUUGGAACACCAUUCUAGGUUGUAUCCAAGUUUCUUCUUUAUUACUUUUGUUUCUGAUCAUUAGGACACCAUUCUAGUUUCUAUAUCAGUUUAGUCUUUGUUCAUUUGGUUUCUGAUCAAUGGAAUGCUAUCCUAGGUUCUUUCUAAGCUUAAUCGUUUGUUCCUUUGGUUUCUCAUUAUUGGGA